UGGGAAACAGGUUAAUAUUCCUGUACUUGGUGUUACUGCGAAGGGGGGACGGAGAAGGCUAUGUUGGCCGGGCGACGGUUGUCCCGGUUUAAGCGUGUAGGCUGGUUUUCCAGGCAAAUCCGGAAAACCAAGGCUGAGGCGUGAUGACGAGGCACUACGGUGCUGAAGUGACAAAUGCCCUGCUUCCAGGAAAAGCCUCUAAGCAUCAGGUAACAUCAAAUCGUACCCCAAACCGACACAGGUGGUCAGGUAGAGAAUACCAAGGCGCUUGAGAGAACUCGGGUGAAGGAACUAGGCAAAAUGGUGCCGUAACUUCGGGAGAAGGCACGCUGAUAUGUAGGUGAAGCGACUUGCUCGUGGAGCUGAAAUCAGUCGAAGAUACCAGCUGGCUGCAACUGUUUAUUAAAAACACAGCACUGUGCAAACACGAAAGUGGACGUAUACGGUGUGACGCCUGCCCGGUGCCGGAAG
rnacentral:rRNA from 1 species